UAAUACCAGCACCCCGAGUGGUCGGGACGAUUAUUGGGCCUAAAGCAUCCGUAGCCGGUCUUGCAAGUCUUCCGUUAAAUCCAGCUGCUUAACAGAUGGGCUGCGGAGGAUACUACAAGGCUAGGAGGCGGGAGAGGCAAGCGGUACUCAGUGGGUAGGGGUAAAAUCCUCUGAUCCAUUGAAGACCACCAGUGGCGAAGGCGG
rnacentral:rRNA from 1 species